AGAGUUUUUGCUAAAAGCAGCUAGGAAGCCCCACGGCUCCAGUGUGCGUGAACUCCUGGUAAUUUCCUUGGGGAAUCCCGCCUCAGAGAACCUCUACCCCGAGAAUUAGGAGGAAGCUGAGCUAGGCUGACUUGAGGAAAGAGAGCUGGAGGAGCGGGGUUCAACAUUUUUCAAAAUAAAAAGUUGGUAGAAUAAUAGGAAGCCAUGAGGACCAAGAAGCUCACAUUUCCAAGGCUUUCUAAGUUUCACCUUGAAGCAAGAUACAUCAUAAAGCAUUGUCUAGGUACAACUUGCACUUUCCUGUCCAAGCCUCAGACCCUGUUCUUCAUCUGGGCCCACAGAGCAACAGCUUCCACUUUUGUGGCCAAAGAAAAAUGCUAACCAGCUUGUAAUUGCUGUAAGGAGAUGGAGUUUCACUUACAUCCAGGCUGGAAUGCAGUGGCGUGAUCUUGGCUCACUGGAACCUCCACCUCCUGGGUUCAAGCAAUUCUCGUGCUUCAGCCUCCCGAGUAGCUGGGAUUAUAGGUACGCUCUUUCAUGCCCAGCUAAUUUUUGUAUUUGUAGUACAGAUGGGGUUUUGCCAUGUUGGCCAGGCUGGUCUUGAACUCCUGGCCUCAAGUGAUCUGCCUGCCUCAGCCUCCCAAAGUGCUGGGAUUACAGGUGUGAGCCACCAUGCCCAACCUCAUUUAUUUAUUCGUGUGUGUGUGUGUGUGUGUGUGUGUGUGUGUGUGUGUAUAACUGCCUAAUAGCUUAUACCUUAAGAGAGCCUUAAAUAGUAUAAGAAAGAAAAGAUAAACAAAGGGCAAGACUGUCACAUCUGUGUGGCUACAAAAGGAAAAUAUUCCUUACACAGCAUAUUUCCUACAUGAUUGACAAAGCUAGCAAUCUGCAUUCAAAAGCAUGUAGCCCAUGUACCACAGGCUACAUACAGGCUCUCAGGCUAAUGAUCAGAAUAACAAUUAUGAGUAACUUUUCCCGAAUGCUUACUAAGUGCCAGGCACUACACUAAGUGUUGUUUUGUUUUGUUUUGUUUUUGAGACAGAGUCUCACUGUGUCACCCAGGCUGGAGUGCAGUGGUGAGAUCUUGGAUCACUGCAACCUCCUCCCAGGUUCAAGCGAUUCUCCUGCCUCAGCCACCCAAGUAGCUGGGAUUACAGGCGUGUACCACCAUGCCCAGCUACUUUUUGUGUUUUUAGUAGAGACCGGGUUUCACUAUGUUGGCCAGGAUGGUCUAAAACUCCUGACCUAAGGUGAUCCACCUGCCUCAGCCUCCCAAAGUGCUGGGAUGACAGGCAUGAGCCACUGUGCCCGGCCUUACACUAAGUGUUUUGCAUAAUGUUAUAUGCCUUGUUUAAUCCUCAUUUUUCGAAGGAGGCUCCUGAGACUCACAGAAGUGAGCUGCACAGAGUCAUGUGAUUGAUAAGUGGUUAAGCUGAGGUUCAAAUACAGGCCACUGAAUUUCAAACUAAAAACCCACAAUCAUUCCAGGCACCACCUUAAAGUUCUACUUAUAAGGGGCCAGCGAGUGGCACACGGCCCAGGACGAAAAAGUGAGUGAGGAUAUUCAAACACAAGUCACAUCACGACAUGGCAAAAACAGAAAAACUUUGAUGUUCUCCAUCUGUUCUUCAGACAGAGAGCUCAAACAUAAGAGAGUAGGGCUCAACUUUAAGACAGAAACUGCCCAGCACCAUCUGCAGGUGGAUUGCAUUGUUUGGGGAGGCAGUCACAUGACCCAGAUCUGCUUCCUGCCUCUGCUUGCAGAAGUCUAACACUCUGAGGGCUAACACCAAUCCUGCUUGCAGGAUUCUAACACUCUGAGGCUCCGAGGUUGUUAAAGUCCCUGUCUCCCACACUACCAACCCCACUGUCAGCUUGACCAUGAGUGAAUGCCUUCACCAAUGUAUAGAAAGGACCUUGCUAAUAGGAAAAAAGAUGAGCCUGGAGCCUAAACAGGAAGGCUUUCUCUUCCACGGAUUGGAAGCACCGCUAAAGAAGCUGGCUGACUUGUGAGGUUCGGGGAUAACGAAGUAUGAAUGUACAGCUCCGGGUACUGUGCUUGGAGCAUAUGAAACAUGCAACACAUGACUAGUGUUGUUAUACAGUUUUCAUUCCCACAGUCUCUAACAAAAUAUAGUCAUACGUCUUUUUUUAAAAAGACGUGUUGGAUUCUAGUGCUGAGAAGAAGAGAAGCUACCACUAAUAUAGCAUGAGAGAGUGGCAGACAGAGAGAUCCCUGGGGACCCACAUUUUUCAGGGAGAAACCCCAAUUCUUUCUGCCCUUCAAGCAGUGGCACACAGCAGAAAGUGAAAUCAUUCAUUGGACAGCUUGAUUGGAAACUGUGAUUUAUAUUACAGGGAUCUUUUUGCCACAAUAGCCUAAUCUAAAUCAGGCCAUUAUUUCAUACAAGCCAUUAUUUCAUAAAGUUUUACAUUUUAACCUGUAACUCAGGUACCAAGUUUCCUCAAGCUACACAUUCCCACUCAUCAACAAUAUCAUUGGUUUGACAUUAUACAUACAAAAAGAGCAAUUUUUUAAGAAAAACAGUUAUAAGCUGAUACAUCAUUUUCAACACACCCUAUAUAUAAAGUUGCUGUGUUUCAGAGGUUAUUUGGAUUAUUUUAAUCUAUUGAAAAAAAAAGCUAACACGACACUUUUGGACAGUUCAGCCUCCUUUUUCUUUGCUUUGAUGGUGUUCUUUUCUCCUUUUCUCCCUCUAGUUUUUAUCUCUGUUCAAAAGCAAGAUUUUAAAUCCUGUAAGUAGAAAUUGGAACAACUUCUGGGCUUUGCACAGCACCUAGCUAGUUCUUCAGGAUAUUCUUUGUUCUAUUUUUUAACAUACAUUUUUAAAGGUAAUAAUAAACUAAACUUUGACCUUUAAAAUCUUCAAAUAAAUCAAUCAGCAGAGAAAUAACUAGGUAAAGAGCAGAAUGGAAAACAAUCAAACAAGGCUGGAAAGUCAUAGAAAAUUCCUAAAAUUGUGUGUUUGUAUGUGUGUGUGUGUGUGUGUGCAUGUUGUUGUUCUUAUUGUUCAUUUGUAUAUGUGUGAUUUGAGCAACAUUUGAGAAAAAAAAAAUAAGAAAAUGAGGAA
rnacentral:lncRNA from 1 species